rnacentral:rRNA from 1 species
UAUUAAAGUUGUUGCAGUUAAAAAGCUCGUAGUCGGAUGUCGGGCUCGGGCAAGCUGUCGGCCUUUGGUCGGACGGCAGGCUCGGGUCUUUCUGCCUGAGGAACCCGGUUGCUUUAACGAGCUGCCGGUGGACGCAGGUCGUUUACUUUGAAAAAAUUAGAGUGUUCAAAGCAGGCUAGCGCUUGAAUACAUUAGCAUGGAAUAAUGGAAUAGGACUUUGGUGCUAUUUUGUUGGUUUAUGGGACCGAAGUAAUGAUUAACAGGGACAGUUGGGGCCGUUUAUAUUUCGUUGUCAGAGGUGAAAUUCUUGGAUUUACGAAAGAUAAACUUCUGCGAAAGCAUUCGGCAAGGAUGUUUUCAUUGAUCAAGAACGAAAGUUAGGGGAUCGAAGACGAUCAGAUACCGUCGUAGUCUUAACCAUAAACUAUGCCGACUAGGGAUCAGUGGAUGUCAAUUUGCGACUCCAUUGGCACCUUGUGAGAAAUCAAAGUUUUUGGGUUCCGGGGGGAGUAUGGUCGCAUGGCUGAAACUUAAAGGAAU